ACAUGCAAGUCGAACGGGCCUUCGGGCUAGUGGCGGACGGGUGAGUAACGCGUGGGAAUCUGCCCUCAGGAGGGGGAUAACGGCCGGAAACGGCCGCUAAUACCCCAUAUGCCGAGAGGUGAAAUGAAUUUCGCCUGAGGAUGAGCCCGCGUCUGAUUAGCUAGUUGGUGAGGUAAUGGCUCACCAAGGCAUCGAUCAGUAGCUGGUCUGAGAGGAUGAUCAGCCACACUGGGACUGAGACACGGCCCAGACUCCUACGGGAGGCAGCAGUGGGGAAUUUUCCGCAAUGGGCGCAAGCCUGACGGAGCAACGCCGCGUGAGGGACGAAGGCCUCUGGGCUGUAAACCUCUUUUCUCAAGGAAGAAGACAUGACGGUACUUGAGGAAUAAGCCACGGCUAAUUCCGUGCCAGCAGCCGCGGUAAUACGGGAGUGGCAAGCGUUAUCCGGAAUUAUUGGGCGUAAAGCGUCCGCAGGCGGCCUUGAAAGUCUGUUGUUAAAGCGUGGAGCUCAACUCCAUUUCAGCAAUGGAAACUACAAGGCUAGAGUGUGGUAGGGGCAGAGGGAAUUCCCGGUGUAGCGGUGAAAUGCGUAGAUAUCGGGAAGAACACCAGUGGCGAAGGCGCUCUGCUGGGCCAUAACUGACGCUCAUGGACGAAAGCCAGGGGAGCGAAAGGGAUUAGAUACCCCUGUAGUCCUGGCCGUAAACGAUGAACACUAGGUGUCGGGAGAAUUAACCCUUUCGGUGUCGUAGCCAACGCGUUAAGUGUUCCGCCUGGGGAGUACGCACGCAAGUGUGAAACUCAAAGGAAUUGACGGGGGCCCGCACAAGCGGUGGAGUAUGUGGUUUAAUUCGAUGCAACGCGAAGAACCUUACCAGGGUUUGACAUCCUGCGAAUCCUUUGGAAACUUAGGAGUGCCUUCGGGAGCGCAGUGACAGGUGGUGCAUGGCUGUCGUCAGCUCGUGUCGUGAGAUGUUGGGUUAAGUCCCGCAACGAGCGCAACCCACGUCUUUAGUUGCCAGCAUUUAGUUGGGCACUCUAGAGAGACCGCCGGUGAUAAACCGGAGGAAGGUGUGGAUGACGUCAAGUCAUCAUGCCCCUUACAUCCUGGGCUACACACGUACUACAAUGCUACGGACAAAGGGCAGCAAACUCGCGAGAGCUAGCAAAUCCCAUAAACCGUGGCUCAGUUCAGAUCGUAGGCUGCAACUCGCCUACGUGAAGGAGGAAUCGCUAGUAAUCGCAGGUCAGCAUACUGCGGUGAAUACGUUCCCGGGCCUUGUACACACCGCCCGUCACACCAUGGAAGUUGGCCAUGCCCGAAGUCGUUACUCCAACCCGCAAGGGAGGAGGAC
rnacentral:rRNA from 1 species